GAAUGGUGAUGGAGAAAACAAAUAAAAGGAGGGAGACCUCUGUCACCAUGUGGGAGCCAAACAAGAGGCAAGAGUUACAGUCAGAAGUGCCCAGUCUGCAAGUCCCUAAUUUCUUUAGGUGGUUUCUGCUUUUGUUGGUUUAGAUUAGUAUGUCCAGCUUCUUCACUUCUGAUUUAUUGUAAUGUCACUUUCAACCAGCCAACAAAGUCUAAUGCCUGGAAUAAUGCACUACGUUCACAGUCUCAGGUAAGUUAAGCCAUCUGCAGCAGUAUGUGUAACAGGAUCACUGGACUGAAGUGACUUUCCCCUUUCUGACCCUGGUGCAUUCCAGCGUCAGCAACAAAGGCAGGUCUAAUUUCACUGGAAUUCAUAAAUGCAGGUGAAGGGUGGAGUUAAAAAAAAAACAACUUGCUGGGCAUUGACCUUAAGAACGUGAAGGGAUCGAGACGAGGUGCAGGUAGCUAGUGGGCUUUCAUCAAUUUUCUUGAAGAUGGGAAAAUGGAAUACGUUUCUGAAAUGCAUUCACAAAGGCCAUCAGGCCCUGCAAGAUAAUCGGCCCAUAGCUUCGCAAAGAGUUUACCGGUGCAAACCCCUAGUAUGGGCGUGAAAUUACAGUAAGUCUACCCUGUGUAUUGCCACGUACUGACAGCAGAGGAUACCAGGGCUAAUUCCCCAGAGUGCAAAUAAUGAUGCUUACCAGAAACAGGAGAACUAAAUUGGAAAAAUAUACCCUUUCUGGCAAAUGACAGAGCAUGACUUACAAGGCUAAGAAACACUACAAUUUCAGAUUCAGCGAUUUAAAUUAAAUUUUAACUUGCUUUUGGGUAGGAGGGAAGGAUUGUGUCAUAUUUGUUAAGUUUUAAAACUAUCAAGUUAAAAAUUGUCUUCCUCCCCCUUCUAUCAAUUUAGUACUCCUACUUAUUCUAUCCUUAAUUUACACUGCACUGUCCUUCCAUCGAGUCUACCUUGGAUCCCGCCAUCUCUGCCAUCUUGAACAUCUCCUGCUCUUGUAGCUGAACAUUACAGCUCAAGUUAAAGUUUCAAAGGUGGUGAGGAUUGCUGCAACAAGAUCAGAAACAGAAAGCAGGAACUGAAGCAACUGGGUGAUAAGAGUCACCACAUGGUUAAAUUGGAACUCUGUUGAAGUUCAUAACAUCACAACUGUAAAAAUAUGUUAGUAGUCUGCGAAAAAAAUACUUGGCAUCAGUCAUAGAGUUAACAAUUUUUCAAUUUUGGGGAUAAGGAAGGUCAGUCUAGUCUAUAAAUCAGCUAAGGACAUGGACAGUCCUUGAGUCACAAAGGUCAUCAGCCCCACCACAUCCAUGCAGACUGCUUUAUCUAUCUACACUCUUCCCACUUGCCUGCAUUAGGUCUGUAUCCUUCUUGUCUAUUCAAGGUCCUGUCUAAAUAUCUUUUAAAUGUUUUGAUUGUAUCUGAUUUCACCAGGUAACGUGCUUCAGGUAUCAACCACUCACUGUGUAAAACUUUCCCCUCGGAUCCCCUUUAAAACUCCUUCCUCGGUAAAGAUCGGAAUGGACAAAAAAAAACUCAGUGUACACAAUAGCAACAUACUAUGUAUCAGAUCUAACAAAAAUGGAAGUAAGAAAUUAAUUAGAGAGGUCAAUUAGCUCAACAUAAAUCCAUCUAUCCGUUGUUGCCUCUAAUUAUAUCUCUAAUGAUCCUAUGGUUUUCUGGCCAACCGAUCUGUCCUAGGAUCUUUUUAAAGUUUAGACAUUUGAGAUUGUAUUUCUGAAGCAUAUCUGACAGGCAGUUGAGAUUUACCAAUUGCUGUGAAGUUUUAACCCCACUCCCUUGGUGAUUUUAUUUCAACUGGAUCCUAAUCUGAUAGGCAGGAUGCUGGGUUCUAAUCUCCAGUUUAGGAGGUUAGUUUAAGGGAAUAAGGUUCACAGUAGUGCUGGAAAACGUCCAACUAUCAGUCCCCACCUCCCUUUUGCUGCCAUUUUUUCUAUAAACUUUACCAAGUGACUAGUUAAGCCUGAGCGUGUGAAGCUCAGGGUCCAAACUCCGUACUUCCUUUCCCACUUUGUUUACAUACAGGGGAGAGGGACAGCUCAGUGUAAAGGUUAAUUUUUGAUAAAUAUAUUGUUUCUCACUAAAUCCAAACCCCCAUGCUUCUGAGAUUGCUGCCAGAACAGAUUUUUUUUUCAUUUUAAAUUUAAAUCUGUUUAGUCUUUAGGGCAAGAGUCUCUCCAUCGUUUUAUUGUCCUCUGAAUCCAGUGUGAUGGAGUUUCUCAGAGGAAUGAAUGAGUAAAAUCCUUGCCUGAUGUUUUCCAAUCAGAAAUGUGAUUGUUUACCAUCUGCAUUGUGUUAGUCUAUUUAAAAACACUUAAUUAACAUUUUGAACUAUAUAUUCCACCUACCAAAGUUUAGCUUUAAGGAGGAACAUGUUUCCAAUGUGGAAAUAUUAUUAAUUGCUACCACCAGGAAGGAGGAACAGAAGCCUGAAGGCAUACUUUCAGUGAUUCAGGAACAGCUUCUUCCCGACUACCACCAGAUUUCUAAAUGGACAUUAAACUAAUGAACACUACUUUGUUUAAAAUAUCUGCUUUUGCACUACUUACCUUAACUAUUUAACACACAUAUAUAUACUUACUAUAAUUCUGUUUUUGCUAUAUUUAUCAUGCAUUAUACGGCUGCCACAAAGUUAACAAAUUUCACGACAAAUGCUGGUGAUAUUAAAGCUGAUUCAAAUUCUGAUUAACCAGUGUGGUAAUAUUAUUAACCAGUGUUGGUAGUAGAAGGGACGGGCAGAAACAUGUUUUUAAACAAAGUGGAGUUCUGGAGUGCUUUGUCUGAAAAGGUGAUGGAAUGGG